ensembl:snRNA U6 U6 spliceosomal RNA
GUACUCCCUUUGGCAGCGCACAUACUGAAUUUGGAAAGAUACGGAGAUUAGCAUGGCUCCUAUGCAAGAAUGACAUGCAAAUUAGUGAAGUGAGGUCUCCCAUG